rnacentral:tRNA from 1 species
GGCAGGGUAGCAAAGUGGUCUAAUGCAGCGGCCUUAAGCCGGACGUGAGACGUCCAGGAAGCCAUCCGCCAUUCGCGGGUUCGAACCCCGUCCUUGCCA